CGCGCCUCGUGUCCCGCCCGCUCCUCCCACGGGUUCGCGCCGCGAGCCCACCAGAUCCCGCCCAUACCACGAGCCACCCAGCCGGACCUCCAAACAUAGCCCACUGGUUUCCCCCGAGAAACCCCGGGCGGCAGCCGACGUGGCGGGCCCGCCCUAUCCGUAUUCAACAGCCACGUCACGCCCAUCCUCUCUCCAACGAACGAACUCCCAAAGCCCGCAUUCGCCCCAUAAAUACCCCGAGGAAGCCCAGAAUCCAGCAGAGCUACAUCCCAAUCCAAUCUGAUCCAAUCCAAGAUCGUCGUGCUCCUUCUGAAAAGUGUCGAUCGAAGCGGAUACUUAGCUAGCUAGGCGAUGGCCCCGAGCGCGUCGAUGCUGUUCCUGAGCUACCACCAGCUGCACCACGGCCCCGCCGACGCGCCGCACGUCGACAAGGAUGGCGCCGGCGCGGGCACCGGCGGCUUCAGGUUCGGCUUCGGUAAUGUCUUCUUCUCCCUCGGCGUCCUGGCGCCGAAGCGGCGGGAUGCGGCGGUGCACGACGGGAAGCAGAGGGCGCGUCAGGCCGGCGGCGAGGAGGAGGAGGAGGAGCCCGCGACGCUGGCGAGCAAGUUCGAUGAGGCCGUGCGGCUCAGCUGCUGGUCGUCCUGAAGCUUAUCUUAAUUUCCGCGUGCUCCUGUAGCUUCUGCCUCUUUGACUGUGCAAGCAUGUGCUGUGCCGAUCGUUGACAAUGGCAGGAUAUGUGUAGAUAAAAUGUGACUGUGCAUAUGAAUUUCCUUUCUUUCUUUCUGUGUGAAAUCCUGGGUGGUACUGUUUUCUGAAUUAUCCCGAUCAUAAGAUUUGCUACAUGAGCUCUCGAUGUCGUCGUGUCCUCGCGGUCAUAGCUUCUGAACUUGGAGCGUCCUUCCAGAGGAUAAUUUUCAAAUCCUAUCCUGAAUCGCCUAAACACCAUUCUGAACUGCUAAGUGGGUCUAUGAACUUGCAAAGUUUGUCCCUCGAACGGUGAAUUUGCGUAGUUUUCUUCACGCUCCUCGUCUCCUCGACAUGAUCUCGCCAUGGAUCGGCAUUGCCAAGAGAUCCGUAACACAUUUGAAAGUACCCCCUCCGUUUAGAAAUACUUGUCAUCAAAAUAGAUAAAAGGAGAUGUAUCCAGAUGUAUUUUAGUUCUAAAUACAUCUUUUUUGUCCAUUUUGAUGACAAGUAUUUUCGGACGGAGGGAGUACAAGAAAAUCAGUAGCAGUACGUUACGAUCUUAUCCCUCGACAUCUUUUUUUUUUUUGCUUAAGAUCCCUUGACAUGAUUCACAUUUUUUUCUUUUGAGGGGGACAUGGUUUACAGCUGUGGGCUGGCUACCAGUGCUGAAUCCGGCGGACAGGCGGAGGAUCCGGCCCACAGCUCUAACUGGGCCUCCACCAGAAUUCUGCCCCAAACUUUACUUAACCCCCCUGCCCCAACCGCCAUGAAGGGGAAAAAGAACUCGACACCCCCAACCUCUGACCAAUGGAGAAGUAAAGUGGGGCAAAAGAUCCAAUUUCUCCCGUGCUGCUUCCCCCGGCGUUCGCUGCCCCUUCCGACCAGCCGGCGCAUCACGCACGGCACGCCAUGAAGGUGAGUGAUCAGCCGAAGCUCUCCUGCCCUCCGUUUCUCUAUAUGCAGCCGUAUGUGCUCCGCGCACUGGUCAAUAGGUUCACGGUUCGGGGAGUUUCUGUGGCGUGCCGGCCACGUGCUCGACGUAAUGCCUCGCCGGGUUUCCCGUGCAGAUCGCGGUGGAGGGAUGCAUGCACGGUGAGCUGGACAAGGUCUACGACACGAUGCAGCGGCUCGAGGCGGCCGAGGGCAUCAAGAUCGACCUCCUCAUCUGCUGCGGCGACUUCCAGGUGCGUUCAGGCUGCAGUCCCCUCUGCCCACGCUCCUUCACUGGAGCUGGAGUUAUUUUUCCCCCUUGAAUACAUUGCGAGGUUACAUUUUGGCUCGACGUUGGUGUAUGCUGUUUUGCAUCAUGUCGUGCACGCACCUGCUUGGGACAUGGGAUCUGUCUGGUUCACGAUGGCCUAGCUGCUGGCUGGUUGUUUGUUUGAACCUAAUAUCUGUUACUCGUUGGAAUAGAUAGUUGAUCUGGCUAGGGUAUCACAGCAUUUUCUAAGUCUACCACACGCUUCCCUUGAAUUGAAUGCUGCAAUAUUUGUCUUACUGGGUCUGGUCGUGCCGGGUACUUUCUUACGGAAAUAGGUUUAUCUUAUUGUCCUUAAGAAGGUCAUAUCUGGCUCCGUUCUAUGUAGCAUGGACAAGUUGAUUAUUCACAUGGUUAUAGUUUAUUGUUCGGUAGUAAAAAAAAUUUGAGAACCGUUCGGUAUUAAUUCUAUGUACGUGUUGAUAUAUUUCACAUUCUGACAUUGCACCUUUACAUGCAGGCUGUAAGGAAUGAGAGUGAUUUACAGUGUGUAAACGUCCCACCAAAGUUUCGUACCAUGAACUCGUUUUGGAAGUACUACUCUGGGCAAGCAGUUGCCCCAUACCCAACUAUCUUCAUCGGCGGGAAUCAUGAAGCAGCCAAUUAUUUGUGGGAACUGUGAGUCUUUGUCACUUAUGCCCGACACAACUUUCAAAAGACCAAUCAGUGGUUUAAUUUAGCUCUGGGAUCUUAUUCUAUAGUUUCACUUUGGAGGAAAAUAACUAGAAUUUGCAUAUAAAAAAUUGGGAAAGAUUGAAGCACAGUAAUCUGAAAAUUCCCAUGAUAUUUACUCAAAUUUUCAAUUAAAAAAAAUCCUAACCGGGACAAGGAUGAUCUAUGUAUGGAAGUGUGUUGUCCAAUAGCCACAUAUAUACUCCUGGCAUGGUGGUCCCUGUAAUUAUUCAUAGAAACUUCGGGAUGUAAAUAAAUAGAAUUAAAGGGAGAUAGGCAUUGUUUUGAAUCUAAGGCUCUCUCUGGUUUUGAACUAAUAUCUGCUUAAGAGUUAUUAACAAGACGAUCAACAGCUUUCAGCCAUUGGAUACGUUAAUUUACUCAAUAUAGUUGAGUAUUGUUGUUAAAUGAUGAGGUGUUGUUUUGCUAAUUGAAAAAUGCAAUGCCUGCUUUUCUAAUCGUGGUGUAAUCACUAUCAGGUACUAUGGAGGAUGGGCAGCACCUAACAUCUACUUCUUGGGGUUUGCUGGUGUUGUUAAGUUUGGAAAUAUUCGAAUUGGUGGAAUGUCAGGAAUACAUAAGCAACAUGAUUAUCACCGAGGCAAGUUUAUUAAUAUCUUGCUUGGAUUACUUUGUAGUUCGGAGAUUUGUAUUUUUUUAAAUUGCAUCUAGAAGUUACUGUCUAGGGAGUUGAAGCCUAUUGAAGAAGGGUCCUAAACUAGGACGGUAAAUGUCAUUACACCCUGAACAGAGCAUUCAGAAUUAUUAUUGCCAAUCUAUGCAGGACAUCAUGAGAGGCCUCCAUACGAUAAUGCUACUAUACGAUCAGUGUACCAUGUAAGGCAUUACGAUGUUCUCAAGCUAAUGCAUGUGAAGGAGCCUCUAGAUAUAUUCAUGUCACAUGACUGGCCUCUGGGCAUUACUGAAUAUGGAAACUGGGAGAGGCUCCUUCGAGAAAAACCGUUCUUCACAGAAGAGGUAAUACCAAGUUGCAAACUGACAUAAGGGAUUAUUUUGUGUUCCACAUUUGUUAUGUCCGCGUAGUACACAGCCCACCCAGCGCCAAGUUAGGGGGAAGAUUGCCAUGAUUUAUUAAUUAGGUAGCUUAUCCUUUAAAUUAAGAUCUAUUUUAGCUUGGGCCUUAAGCCAACUAGACAUAAGAUCUACGAUUUGUUCUUAGAUUGGAUUCUUAGUCCUCUAUAAGGGGAACCCUCUGAGGAAUAAAGCCAAGCCAGAAUUAGAAGAGUGGUUCUUCUAUCUUGCCCCUGGAGUGAGAGCCUUCCCUCCUAUCUACCUAGACCUUAUAUACUAUGCAACAUAUUCAAGCCAUGGCAACACUCUUCUCUCUAUAACAUAUAUGCCUUCCGCAACUCAUCUAACCUUGUGGAAAUACCUCAAGGGAGUGUGUUAACUUUAUUGUGCCACAGUGUCACAUUUUGAGUCAAAAAACCAAUGAAUAAUACAAUAAAUAAGCGAGGCCACAUUUUUCAUGAUGAUUACUGCAGCGAAACAGUUUCCAAUGCUGUACCAGCAUCUGUGAUCAGCUAAGGAUUUUUUUCUUUUAUUUUGCUAAUUAAUCUUGUCAAGUUACACUAGAUAAACCCUUGUAUAGCUAAAAAUGCUAGGGUUAUUCUUACAUUGUUAGUCGGUGGCACCUAUGGGCAACAAAAGUAUGCCUAUUUGGAAAACUAAUCCCUAUGGCAUCAAAUUUUGUAUGGUGAGUUGAUGACUACUGUGGUCUGACAUGCAGAGUGUUUGAUUCAGACUACUUUCUCAGAAACGGAAUGCUUCAUGCUUCCCUAACACACUCCCUCCGUCUCAAAAUAUAAAACGCUAUUACAUCCAAUAUACUCACAUAUUGGAUGUAAUAACGUCUUAUAUUUGGGACAGAGGGAGUAUCAUACUAUUGUUGAUGUUCUUUUCUCUUGCCAUUUCAGGUCCACCAGAGAAAACUAGGCAGCGAAUCUGCAGCAAAAUUGUUGAACAAAUUAAAACCACCGUACUGGUUUUCAGCUCAUCUUCAUUGUAGGUUUCCAGCUAUCAUUCAACAUGGUGAGGAUGGACCUACGACUAAGUUCCUUGCACUCGAUAAGUGCCUCCCCGGGCGGAAUUUUUUGCAGGUACUCUUAUCUCCUCUUUCACGCUCAUUUUGACCACCACAAAUAAAUUUCUUGUACACAUUUGUUCUAAGAUGUCAAUCCAUUUUAGGUAAUAGACAUUCCAUCCAAUCCAGGACCAUAUGAAAUCCAGUAUGAUGAAGAAUGGCUUGCAAUAACACGGAGAUUCAAUAGUGCUUUCCCCUUAACUCGGAUGCCAUGUACAAUUCGGUUGGUGCAUAAAAUGUCUUUAUUUGUUUGUUAUCGUGUAAUGAAUAUUCUGAAAAUAUUCAAUAAAUGACAAAGCUGGAGUAAUUCAAUUGGCUUGUCUACAGGAACGAAGAACUUGACAUUCAAGAUGACCGGCAGUGGGUUAGGAGCAAGUUGAAUGCUAGAGGGGCUAAGACAUUUGAUUUUGUCCAGACUGCUCCACCUUAUGAUCCGUCCAGGCCAGUUUAUAAUCCCCCCAUAGCAGGUAAACCUUAAUAGUCAUGUCUUCACUGUGAGCCAUAAAUAUUAUGGAUUCUACCGUCGAAAUGUUUCUUGAUCUUGAGCUACCGUACAGUUUUCCUUUAGUACCACAAUUUCAUCUUAUGUCACAGUUCAUUGCUUUCAUUCUAGUUGUUUUUUGUAUUUAAAGUAUCACAAACUAGUAUCUGAUUCUAAGCAUUUGAAUGUAUGCUCUUUCUUUGUCAAACUUCUGACGUGUGCUUUAAAUGGUUCUUGUGCUACACAGUUCCUUGCAGAAACCCACAAACUGAAUCAUUUCUCCAGUUUUUAGAGCUCCCAUAUCUGCUGGACUCGUCUAAUCCUGGCGGUAUGUUUCUCGCUCUCUGAUAAAAGCUUAUGGCUGUAGCUCAGUCUCUCGUGUGUUAAUAUUUAAACUCUGAGUUUCAUGCAUGCCAAGCCAGACCUAGUCAGUUUGCACUUCAUGAAUACUCCCUCCGUCCCAAAAUAAGUGUCUCAAGCUUAGUACAAUUUUACACUAAAGUUAAUACAAAGUUGAGACACUUAUUUUGAGACGGAGGGAGUAGUACUUUGGUUUACGCUCACUCAAACUAUUUUUGUUACCAAAAGAAGAACAGUUGUUCUGCGUGGUUAUACUUUGUGAUGACUUGUGGUUACUCAUCUUUUGGUCAACAGGUGUUGAUAUAAAUGUAUCGAGCUCUCAGGCAGCACCUGCACUAGACAACGACGACAUAGAGCUCCCCGAUGAAGUUGAAGACGACGAAGUUGAUGAGGAGUGAAGCACUUAAAGUAGUUCUGUUGUAUUAUCCCUGGGUCCAGGGUUUUGUUGCCAUAUCUUGAUGGAUGUCAUUACCUCUGUAGAGCUUAACUGCAGAAGGAAAACUAACUUGUAGACCGUAGUACCGUACAGUAACCUUGCUUGAUUACGAGGUGUAACAGGAGUUAUAUGCUAGCACAAGAAUUUUUUAGAGAUAACAACAACAACAAAGCCUUUAGUCCCAAACAAGUUGGGUAGGCUAGAGGUAAAACCCAUAAGAUCUUGCGACCAACUCAUGGCUCUGGCACAUGGAUAGCAAGCUUCCACGUAUCCCUGUCUAUAGCUAGUUCUUUGGUGAUACUCCAAUCCUUCAGGUCUCUCUUAACGGACUCCUCCCAUGUCAAAUUCGGUCUACCUCGAUCUCUCUUGACAUUCUCCGCACGUUGUAGCUGUAUGCUAUGCAUUGCAGCUUCUGGAGGUCUGCACUGAAUAUGCCCAAACUAUCUCAGACGAUGUUGGACAAACUUUUCUUUGAUUGGUGCUACCCCAAGUCUAUCUCGUAUAUCAUCAUUCCAGACUCUAUCCUUCCUCGUGUGGCCACACAUCCAUCUCAACAUACGCAUCUCCGCCACACCUAACUGUUGAACAUGCCACCUUUUAGUUGGCAACACUCAGCGCCAUACAACAUCGCGGGUCGAACAACAGUCCUGUAGAACUUGCCUUUUAGCUUUUGUGUCACUCUCUUGUCACAGAGAAUGCCAGAAGCUUGGCGCCACUUCAUCCAUCUGGCUUUGAUUCGAUGGUUCACAUCUUUAUCAAUACCACCAUUCUCCUGCAGCAUUGACCCCAAAUAUCGAAAGGUGUCCUUCUGAGGUACCACCUGCCCAUCAAGGCUAACCUCCUCCUCCUCCUCCUCCUCCUCACACCUAGUAGUACUGAAACCACACAUCAUGUACUCGGUUUUAGUUCUACUAAGCCUAAACCCUUUCGAUUCCAAGGUUUGUCUCCAUAACUCUAACUUCCUAUUUACCCCCGUCCGACUAUCGUCAACUAGCACCACAUCAUCCGGAAAGAGCAUACACCAUGGGAUUCUCCUUGUAUAUCCCUUGUGACCUCAUCCAUCACCAAGGCAAAAAGAUAAGGGCUCAAAGCUGACCCCUGAUGCAGUCCUAUCUUAAUCGGGAAGUCAUCAGUGUCGACAUCACUUGUUCGAACACUUGUCACAACAUUAUCAUACAUGUCCUUCAUGAGGGUAAUGUACUUUGCUGGGACUUUGUGUUUCUCCAAGGCCCACCACAUGACAUUCCGCGGUAUCUUAUCACAGGCCUUCUCCAAGUCAAUGAACACCAUAUGCAAGUCCUUCUUUUGCUCCCUGUAUCUCUCCAUAAGUUGUCGUACCAAGAAAAUGGCUUCCAUGGUCGACCUCCCAGACAUGAAACCAAACUGAUUUUUGGUCACGCUUGUCAUUCUUCUUAAGCGGUGCUCAAUGACUCUCUCCCAUAGCUUCAUUGUAUGGCUCAUCAGCUUAAUUCCACGGUAAUUAGUACAACUCUGAACAUCCCCUUUGUUCUUGAAGAUUGGUACUAAUAUACUCUGUCUCCAUUCUUCUGGCAUCUUGUUUGCCUGAAAAAUGAGGUUGAAAAGCUUGGUUAGCCAUACUAUUGCUAUGUCCCCGAGGCCUUUCCACACCUCAAUAGGGAUACAAUCAGGGCCCAUCACCUUGCCUCCUUACAUCCUUUUUAAAGCCUCCUUGACCUCAGACUCCUGGAUUCGCCGCACAAAACGCAUGCUGGUCUCAUCAAAGGAGUCGUCCAGUUUAAUGGUAGAACUCAUUCUCCCCAUUGAACAACUUGUCGAAGUAUUCCCGCCAUCUAUGCUUAAUCUCAUCGUCCUUCACCAAGACUCGGUCUGCUCUGUCCUUGAUGCAUUUGACUUGGCCAAUAUCCUCGUCUUCCUCUCUCAGAUCUUGGCCAUCUUAUAGAUGUCCCUUUCGCCUUCCUUCGUGCCUAAUCAUUGGUAGAGGUCCUCAUAUGCCCGACCCCUUGCUUCACUGACAGCUCGCUUUGCAUUCUUCUUCGCCAUCUUGUACUAUCUAUGUUGUCUGCACUCCUAUGUUGUCUCAACAUAGCCGGUCCCAAGCCCGGGUAAAGGAGGAGGGUUGUGAUAGGCUUGGCGAGCCAACGUCAAAACUCAGCCACUCUUAUGGAGAUGAAACCCAAAAGAUUUUUAGAGAUAUUAUGCACACGGGGUAAAAACUCAGCCACUCUUGUUUCUCACUUGUUCUGAUAUAUAUAUAUAUAUAUAUAUAUAUAUAACAAUGAUUAAUUUUAUUAAUCAAGUGAGGAGAUUGCUAUAGAUUGAAUAAACCCAAACAAAACGAAGAACAUCCACAAACUCAAGAGUUACAUAAAAGCAUUUGAAAUCACCAAAGUUCUGCUAAACACAUGUUGAUAGCCUAUGCACACGGUAAAAACCUAUAGGAAAGCAUAUACUUGGCUAAACUCAAAAGUUUCGAAUAGCAGCAUGAGCCCAACACAAGGAGUAAAAUCUUAGAGCAUCUACAGCCGGGAGUCUCAAACCAGCCUCAUACGCCCAACUCAAAAGUUUUGAAUAGCAGCAUGAGCCCAACACAAGGGGUAAAAUCUUAGAGCAUCUACAAUCAGACGCCUCAAACCCGCCUCAUACGCCCGGGCGGGCCGUCCGGUCACUGACAGGUCACGAUUUUUCGAACGAGACGGGCUCCUUAAAUGGGCCUCAAACGCCUGGGCUGACCGGCACCCCUCAUAUCCAACCCAAAUAUGGGGCGGAUAUAGGGGCGCCCGGGCACGCUGAAAGUGCAACUAAUCCCCGGGUGGUUUUGGUAAUUCAUAACAACAUAUAGCUCAUUGGACUAAUAUCCAUUCAAGUUGAAUAUUUCAGAAAGUUCAAUGAUUGGCAUGGCAUGGACUAGUAGAAAUGUGGACCCCUUAAAAUGCUAAGGACAAAGAUUGGCAAAAGCUCAAGACUCUUCAUUUCUAUUUUAGCGAUCCAAGAUCACAUUGAGUCCAUAGGAAAGCCAAUACUAUUAAAAGGGGAUGAGGUGUUUCUUAAUGGUCUACUUGCUCAAACUGCUUAGUGAUAUUGCUCCGAAACCCUCAGCCACUUUCUCAUUUCCACAUAUGUCCAAAACUCAAAGUCAACUCGGCCCCACCGAUUUGAUCUAUCCGGCGCCACCGAGUUCAGUUGACAUAGCCACUGCCAGAAACCCUAGACAAUUCGGUCACACCGAUACGGAUCUCGGUCUCACCGAGAUGGCCUUGCAAACUCUCUGUUGCCUGUUGCAAUUAUUUUGGUCUUACCAAAAUGUGCAAUCGGUCCCACCUAGUUUGCUUGACCAACUCUCUGUUUGCUCGUUGUUGAAAUCGGUCUCACCGAGAUGAGGUUUUGCCCUAGCCCUAGCACAUCGGUCCCACCGAGUUGUUCCAGUCGGUCCCACCGAGAUUCCUAACGUUCACAUUUUGAACUAAAUCGGUCUCACCGAGUUCUUCUAUUCGGUCUGACCGAGUUGGGUCAAAUGUGUGUAAUGGUUAGAUUUUGUGCGGAGGCUAUAUAUACCCCUCCACCCCUUCUCCAUUUGUGAGAGAGCCAUCAGAACAUGCCUACACUUCCACUACUCAUUUUCUGAGAGAGAACCACCUACUCAUGUGUUGAGACAAAGACAUUCCAAUCCAACCAUAAGAAUCUUGAUCUCUAGCCUUCCCCAAGUUGCUUUCCACUCAAAUCAUCUUUCCACCAUAGCCAAAUCUGUGUGAGAGAGUUGAGUGUUGGGCAGACUAUCAUUUGAAGCACAAGAGCAAGGAGUUCAUCAUCAACACACCAUCUAUUACCUUUUGGAGAGUGGUGUCCCCAAGAUUGGUUAGGUGCGCUUGGGAGCCUCCGACAUGUUGUGGAGUUGAACCAAGAAGUUUGUGAGGGCAAGGAGAUCGCCUACUUCAUGAAGAUCUACCCGAGUGAGGCAAGUCCUUCAUGGGCGAUGGCCAUGGUGGGAUAGACAAGGUUGCUUCUUCAUGGACCCUUCGUGGGUGGCGCCCUCUGUGGACUCGCGCAACCGUUACCCUUCGUGGGUUGAAGUCUCCAUCAACGUGGACGCACAAUAGCACCACCUAUCGGAACCACGCAAAAAAUCUCCGUGUCUACAUUGCGUUUGCCUUCUCCAAACCCUUCCUUUACCUUCAUAUGCAAUAUUUUACCUUCUGCUGCUGCUCAGGGAGUCCUAGAUUAGGGGGUCCUCGGGUGUCCAUGCUAUUUGAUAUGGGCCGGACUGAUGGGCCGUGAAGAUAUAAGCAGAAGACUUUCCCCCUGUGUCCGGGUAGGACUCCCCUAUGCGUGGAUGGCAAGAUUGGUGUUCGAAUAUGUUAUUUCUUUCCCUUACAAAACGACUAUGUACAACCCUAGGUCCCUCCGGUGUGUAUAUAAACCGGAGGGUUUAGUCCAUAGAGGCUAUCAGAAUUCUCAUAGGCUAGACAGCUAGGGUUUAUCCAUUACGAUCUCGAGGUAGAUCAACUCUUGUAACCCCUAUACUCAUCGAAUAUAUUCAAGCAGGAAGUAGGGCUUUACCUCCUUUAAGAAGGCCUGAACCUGGGUAAACAUUGUGUCCCCUUUGUCUCCUAUUACCAUUGAUCCCCAGACGCACAGUUCGGGACCCCUACCCGAGAUCUGCCGGUUUUGGCACCGACAGCUGCACUCUUAGAAUUGCAUGUGUAGGUUGAUUGCUUGACAUGUAUUUGUUGCUAAAAUCUGCCAACACUUAAAAUUGGGAAAAUGUUAGAUUUUUAUUUGGUCAAGUAGUGUAAUCACCCCCCUCUAGACCUACUUUCGAUCCUACAAGUGGUAUCAGAGCUUUGGUCUCCAUUUGCCUUGAUUCCAUGCAUUAGUGAUCAUAGCCUUGGUUUCACAACCUAGGAGAGUAUGUCGUCUAGUGAGGGAAAUUACCACCAUAGAGGUCCUUACUUUGAUGGUACUAAUUUUGCUAGUUGGAAGCAUAUGAUGAAAAUGCAUAUUCUUGGUCAUAACCCCGCCGUUUGGGCUAUUGUGCGUAUUGGCUUGCAAGGUGAAUACUUCGAGGAUGUAAGAGAACCGGAUCGUGAAGCGACCGCGGAAGAAUUGAAGAUGUUGCAAUACAAUGCUCAAGCCUGCGAUAUUCUUUUCAACGAUUGUGCCCCAAAGAAUUGAACAAAAUCAGCCGUCUUGAGAAUGCAAAGGAAAUUUGGGAUACUUUGGUUGAUAUGCACGAAGCUACCGAAUCCGUCAAGCAAUCCAAAUUGGAUGUGCUUCAAAGUCAACUUGACAAGUUCAAAAUGAAGGAUGGUGAAGGAGUCGCUGAAAUGUACUCUAGGCUUGCUCUCAUCACAAAUGAGAUUGUCGGCCUAGGAAGCGAGGAGAUGACCGACAAGUUCAUCAUCAAGCAGACCCUAAGAGCCUUGGAUGGAAAAUAUGAUACCGUGUGCACUUUUAUCCAAAUGAUGCCCAACUACAAAGAUCUCAAGCCAACAGAAGUCAUUGGUAGAAUUGUUGCUCAUGAGAUGUCAGUCAAGGAUAAGGAAGAGCUCCACAACUAGUCAAGUGGUGCUUAUAAAGCUUCAUGUGACGCUCCUACAACAUCAAGUGAGAAACAAGUCUUCAAUGAAUAAUUGAGCUUAAUGGUGAAGAACUUCAACAAAUUCUACAACAAUAGAAGCAAAGAGAGAAGUUCCAAGUCAAGGUCCUACAAUGACAAAAUAUCUUCUAGUCGUGAUCGCAAUUGCUACAAUUGUGGAAGACCUGGACACUACUCCAAUGAGUGUACGGCUCCCUACAAAAAGAGAAGAAGUAAAAGAGAAGAGUCACCACCAAGAGAGAGAAGGAGUAGAGAUGAUCGUUAUGAACGAAGACACUCUCGAAGAAGCAAGGAUUUGGAAAGGAAGGACGAGUCAUCAAAGAACUACACAAGACGAAGACAUCAAGCUCAUGUUGGUGAAUGGGUAUCCGAUUCCGACUGCGACAACUACUCCGAGAGAAGCUAUCACUCUGACUCCGAAUAUGCUUCAUGGCUAAAGGCCCUAAGGUAUCACACCCCGAGUAUGUUGAUUUCAAUAGUGAUGAAGAUGAUUUUCUAGGUGAUGAUGAUUUGCUUGUUGACAACACUAGUGAUGAAAACUAUGAUGAAAUUGCUAUUAAUCAUGCUAAUGAAGAUGAAAUGAAUGACAAUGAUAAGAAGGAGAUUGAGCGUCUAACUAAAGAACUAAACACUCUUAAGUUAGCUCAUGAAACUACUUUAGAGGAUCAUCGAGAGCUUUUAAAGACUCAUGAGAAGCUACGCUUCGAGAAGCUCAACUUAGAGCAAGAACAUGGGUUCUGAAAAGCAAUCAAUGAUGAUCUUCGAAAGAAAAGUUCUUCUUACAUUGCCAAGCAUUUACUCUUGUCUACUUAUAUUCCACAAGUAAAAUCUAGCAACAAGAGCAAGAAAGAUUCUUCUCCUAGUAGUAACAAUAAUCAUGUUAGAUCCAAUAUUGUUGCUUCUAGUAGUUCUCUUGAUUCCACUAAUGUUUCUCUUAGCCAAGUUAAACUUGAGCAAGAAAAUAGCUUCUUGAAGGGAAUUAUAGAGAAAGGUGUUUACAAGAGCCUUUCCGAAAGUAAGCAAUUUGAGGAAAUUGUACAGAAGCAAGGAAGGCACCGGAAGAAUCAAGGUGCUAUUUUUUAACGAAAGUUCAAUGCCAAUGGAGUUGAGUGGGAAGAAGAUCAAUACCCCAAGAUGAAGUUUGUUCCUUAACAAGAGAAGUAUGACCUGAUACGUCUCCAACGUAUCUAUAAUUUUUUGAUUGUUCCAUGCUAUUAUAUUAUCUAUUUUGGAUGAUUUAUAUGCAUUAAUAUGCUAUUUUGUAUUAUUUUCGGGACUAAACUAUUAACCUAGAGCCCAGUGCCAGUUUCUGUUUUUUUCUUGUUUUUGAGUUUCGCAGAAAAGGAAUACCAAAUGGAGUCCAAACGGAAUAAAACCUUCGCGAUGUUUUUUCUUGGACCAGAAGACAUCGAGGAGACUUGGAGAUCAAAUUGGAAGAGCCACGAGGCGGCCAUAAGGGGGUAGGGCGCGCCCCCUGCCUUGUGGGCCCCCAGUGACUCCACGACCUACUUCUUCGUCCUAUAUAUUCACAUAUAUUCCCAAACCCUCAGAGGCAUCCACGAAAACACUUUUCCGCUGCCGCAACCUUUUGUACCCGUGAGAUCCCAUCUUGGGGCCUUUUCCGCCGUCUUGCCGGAGGGGGAUUCGAUCACGGAGGGUUUCUACAUCAACUCUAUUGCCCUUCCGAUGAAGCGUGAGUAGUUUACCUCAGACCUACGGGUCCAUAUCUAGUAGCUAGAUGGCUUCUUCUCUCUCUUUGAUUCUCAAUACCAUGUUCUCCUCGAUGUUCUUGGAGAUCUAUCCGAUGUAAUCUUCUUUUGUGAUGUGUUUGUCGAGAUCCGAUGAAUUGUGGAUUUAUGAUGAGCUUAUCUAUGACUAUUAUUUGAAUCUCCUCUGAAUUCUUAUAUGCAUGAUUUGAUAUCUUUGUAAUUCUCUUCGAACUAUCGGUUUGGUUUGGCCAACUAGAUUGGUUUUUCUUGCAAUGGGAGAAGUGCUUAGCUUUGGGUUCAAUCUUGCGGUGUCCUUUCCCAGUGAGAGUAGGGGCAGCAAGGCAAGUAUUGUAUUGUUGCCAUCGAGGAUAAAAAGAUGGGGUUUACAUCAUAUUGCUUGAGUUUAUUCCUCUACAUCAUGUCAUCUUACUUAAUGUGUUACUCUGUUCUUCAUGAACUUAAUACUCUAGAUGGAGGCAGGAGUCGGUCGAUGUGUGGAGUAAUAGUAGUAGAUGCAUAAUCAUUUCGGUCUACUUGACACGGACGUGAUGCCUAUAUUUCAUAAUCAUUGCCUUAGAUAUUGUCAUAACUAUGCGCUUUUAUAUCAAUUGCUCGAUAGUAAUUUGUUCACCCACUGUAUUAUUUGGUAUCUUGAGAGAAGCCUCUAGUGAAACCUAUGGCCCCUGGGUCUAUUUUCCAUCAUAUAAGUUUCCGAUCUACUAUUCUGCAAUCUUUUACUUUCUGUUCCAUAAACCAAAAAAACCUAAAAAUAUUUACUUUAUCGUUUGAUUAGUUUCAUCUAUCUUUAUGAGUCUCACUUUUGCAAGUAACCGUGAAGGGAUUGACAACCCCUUUAUCGCGUUGGGUGCAAGUUUCUUGAUUGUUUGUGCAGGUAUUGGUGAUUUGUGCGUUGUCUCCUACUAGAUUGAUACCUUGGUUCUCUAACUGAGGGAAAUACUUAUCUCUACUUUGCUGCAUCACCCUUUCCUCUUCAAGGGAAAAACCAACACAAGCUCAAGAAGUAGCAACAAGAAUUUCUGGCGCCAUUGCCGAGGAGAUCUAUGCCAAGUCAAGACAUACCAAGUACCCAUCAUAAACUCUCAUCUCUUGCAUUACAUUAUUCGCCAUUUGCCUCUCGUUUUCCUCUCCCCCACCUCUAAAAUGAUUUUCGAAAAGAUUUGCCUUUUUAUCCGCCCUUCUUUCCGUUCGAUCUUUUGUUUGCUUGUGUUACCAUGUGCCUUCUUUUUGCUUGCAUCUUUGCUUGCUAAAAGUUUAUGGAUCCUCAUCCACUUGCUAAUCUUUUUUAGAGAUCCAACUAUGAUGAACCAAUUGCUAGUGAGUUGAGUGCACUAGAUUAUCUUUAUGAUGUUUUGCUUGAAAUCCGUGAAUCUGAAAAUUGUGAUGAAGUGCUUUAUGAAGUGAUUCACGAUAGAUCUUUGAAUAAAAAGCAUGACUACAAUGAUGUUAUUAUAAAUUCUAUUAAUUUCAUUUGUGCUAAUGAUAUGCAAAACCCUAAGCUUGGGGAUGCUAAUUUUGCUAUGUCCACUACUUGUUGCAAUGAUCAUGAUUGGGGUGAUUUUUCCUAUGAUCUUGAAAAUUUAUUUGACCCUCAUGAUGAAUAUGUUUGCAAUAAUAUUGAAAGUGGGUUUGGAAGAGUGUCAACUCUAGGUAAUAACGAUCCCACUACCUUGGAGUAUGGUCAAUCUUAUGAGAUUUUUGAUAAAGGUGGGUUUGGAGAGGUCAUGACUUUAGUUAAUGUUAAUCCCACUAUUUUGCAAGAGUGUCAACUUCGCAUGCAUGUGGAUCAUGUUGAGAAUAUGUUAUGUGAUAGCUAUAUUGUUGAAUUUGCUUAUGAUCCUACAUGUAAUUAUUAUGAGAGAGGAAAAUAUGGUUGUAGAAACUUUCAUGUUACUAAAUUACCUCUCUCUAUGUUGAGAUUGCUAUUGUUUCUUUCUUCUUCCUUGCAUAUGCUAGUUUUUGCUUGCCUUGAAGAUUUGUUUUCUUAUAAAAUGCCUAUGCAUAGGAAGUAUGUUAGACUUAAAUAUGUUUUUCACAUGUUUUAUGAUGCUCUCUUUGUGUUUCAAUUAUUAUCUUUUAUGUGAGCAUCAUUGAAAUCUUAAUGCCUAGCUAAAAAGGCUUUAAAGAAUAGUGCUUGUUGGGAGGCAACCCAAUUUUAUUUCUAUAUUUUUUGUUUUGCUACUGUUCUUGAAUAAAUUACACAUUAUUACCUCUGUAGUAAUUGUGUUUUGGUGUUUCAAUUAGUGUUUGUGCCAAGUAAGACCUUUGGAAUAGCUUACGGUGAUAGUUGAUUUGAUCUUGCUGAAAAACAAUAACUUUUGUGCUUAGUCCUAGAAUUGUUAAAAAUCACAGAGGCCCGAUAAAAUACUGAUUCUUUUUGAAGAAGAUUGAUAUACAAAUUGCCCCUGUUGUUCUAAUUUUUCAGAAUUUUUGGAGUUACAGAAGUAUUCGAAGUUUACAGAUUGCUACAGACUAUUCUGUUUUUGACAGAUUCUGUUUUCUUUGUGUUGUUUGCUUAUUUUGAUGAAUCUAUGAGUAGUAUCGGGGGGUAUGAACCAUGGAGAAGUUAGAAUACAAUAGAUAUUACACCAAUAUAAAUAAAGAAUGAGUUCACAAUAGUACCAACAGUGGCGAUUUAUUUUCUUAUACUAACGGAGCUUAUGAGAUUUUCUGUUGAGUUUUGUGUUGUGAAGUUUUCAAGUUUUGGGUAAGGAUUUGACGGACUAUGGAAUAAGGACUGACAAGAGCCUAAGCUUGGGGACGCCCAAGGCACCCCAAGGUAAUAUUCAAGGACAACCAAGACCCUAAUUAAGCUUGGGGAUGGCCCGAAAGGCAUCCCCUCUUUCGUCUUCGUCUAUCGGUAACUUUACUUGAGGCUAUAUUUUUAUUCACCACAUGAUAUGUGUUUUGCUUGGAGCGUCGUGUAUGAUUUGAGUCUUCGCUUUUUAGUUUGCCACAAUCAUCCUUGCUGUACAGACCUUUUGAGAGGGACACGCAUGAAUCAUGAUUUAUUAGAAUACUAUAUGUGUUUCAUUUAUAUCUUUUGAGCUAGGCAAUUUCGCUCUAGUGCUUCACUUAUAUCUUUUUAGAGCACGGUGAUGGCUUUAUUUUGUAGAAAUUAUUGAACUCUCAUGCUUCACUUAUAUUAUUUUGAGAGUCUUUAAACAACAUGGUAAUUUGCUUUGGUUAUGAAUUUAGUCCUAAUAUGAUAGACAUCCAAGAGGGAUAUAAUAAAAACUUUCAUAUAAAGUGCAUUGAAUACUAUGAGAAGUUUGAUUCCUUAUGAUUGUUUUGAGAUAUAAAGAUGGUGAUAUUAGAGUCAUGCUAGUGAGUAAUUGUGAAUUGGAGAAAUACUUGUGUUAAGGUUUGUGAGUCCCGUAGCAUGCACGUAUGGUGAACCGUUAUGUAACGAAGUCGGAGCAUGAGGUAUUUUUUAUUGCCAUCCUUUGUGUGGAGGUCGGGAUCACGUGAUGGUUAACUCCUACUAACCCUUCCCCUAGGAGCAUGCGCGUAGUACUUUGUUUCGAUGACUAAUAGAUUUUUUCAAUAAGUAUGUGAGUUCUUUAUGACUAAUGUUGAGUCCAUGGAUUAUACACACUCUCACCCUUCCACCUUUGCUAGCCUCUCUAGUGCCGCGCAACUUUCGCCGGUACCAUACACCCACCACAUACCUUCCUCAAAACAGCCACCAUACCAACCUAUUAUGGCAUUUCCAUAGCCAUUCCGAGAUAUAUUGCCAUGCAACUUUCCACCGUUCCGUUUUAUUAUGACACGUUCCAUCAUUGUCAUAUUGCUUUGCAUGAUCAUGUAGUUGACAUCGUAUUUGUGGCAAAGCCACCUUUCAAAAAAAAAUCAUACAUGUCACUCUUGAGUCAUUGCACAUCCCGGUACACCGCCGGAGGCAUUCAUAUAGAGUCAUAUUUUGUUCUAAGUAUCGAGUUGUAAUUUUUUGAGUUGUAAGUAAAUAAAAGUGUGAUAAUCUUCA
rnacentral:lncRNA from 1 species